GCUAGGCAGAUAGGAGGACGACGAAAUACGAUAAUAACGCAAUUAUCACUCUAAGACUCCACACUCUAAACUACACAAUUAUCUUGGAUACGAAGACAGCAAAGACAACUAUGUAGCUAGCUAACACUACACUAAUCAAGUCGUUCAGUUGAGUGUGAUAGUUACUACAGUGCUACGGUAGACGGUGAACGUGUUGGGCAGAUAGGAGGACGACGAAAUACGAUAAUUACGCAAUUAUCUUUGAUACAACGACGGCUAUGUAGCUAGCUAAGAAGAAAUUGCUAAGAUUAGACAAAUCAGACCGUUGUACUAUAAUGAAAUGUAAUGUAAUGUAAUGAAAAAGUUAUACAACCUGCAGACCGAAGGAGACCGAAGCGCGGAUGCGACCGGCUCGCUCCAACCCAAGGAACUUUAUAUAUAUUGAGGUAAAUUGUAUGAAACAUGUUUAUUACCAGUUUGAAAGGGGGACUGGUGAGUCCAUAUACUAACUUAUUUUUUUAGUUAGUAAGCCAAAUGUUACUCCUGAACAAUUUUUCCUAAACAAAGGUAGUGAAUAGUUAUGCAGCAACUAUACUGAACAAAAAUACAAACACAACAUGUAAAGUGUUGGUCCAUGUUUCUUGAGCUGUAAUAAUAUAAUAAUAAUAAGGUCCCAGAAUUUUUUCCAUAAGCACAAAAACCUAAUUUAUUUACAUCCCUGUUAGUGAACAUUUCUCCUUUGUCAAGAUAAUCCUUUCACCUGACAGGUGUGCCCAGGCCUAGUCAUGUGAAAUCCAUAGAUUAGGGUUAGGGUUCAUUCAUUUCAAUUGACUGAUUUCCUUAUAUGAACUGUAACUCACUGCAAUCGUUGCUGUGGUUGCAUGUUGAGUUUAGAUUUUUGUUCAGUAUGUACUUUUGUUACUUAGGUUUGACUAAUUUGUACAAAUUUGUUGAAUUUUCUUUACUUUGACAUUAUGCAUAAUUUUGUGUGGAUCAAUGAAAAAUGUCUAAAUUAAAUUAAAUUUCCAUCCCACUUUGUAACACAACAAAAAAAUCCAAGGGGGGUGAAUACUUACGAUACCCACUGAAAGGAUUACUUUUCUGAUAUGAUUUGCAUGAUGGGACAAGGGAAUUAGUACCACACCCACACUCUCCCACUAUUUUCCACCAUAAUUUGCAAAUAAAUUCAUUAAAAAUCCUACAUUGUGAUUUUCUGGAUUUUUUUUCUAAUUUUGUCUGUCAUAGUUGAAGUGUACCUAUGAUGAAAAUUACAGGCCUCUCUCAUCUUUUAAGUGGGAGAACUUGCACAAUUGGUGGCUGACUAAAUACUUUUUUGCCCCACUGUACAUCCCACUUUUCAUGUGUUAAGAAUUAAACCCGUGUCUCACUGCCUUUUGUCUCCUCAACCUUACCUUGGAUCACUCAUUGCAAUGGCCAUCCGUCUGGAUAACCUACAUCGGGAGCGCUGGUGCUCUCAUCGCGUUUCUCCCUCCCUCGGUGAGCACACGGAAUCAGAGCCUGCACCCAUGGAGGGAGGGGUCAAACGCCUCCCUGCGGCGGAGCGCUGCAGACGGAUACAGCUGGGACUCUGUCUGUACUGUGGACAAAGAGGACACCAGCUCCAGAAGUGUCCUGCAUGUCCGAAUCUGGGAUCCACAAGAGCAGAGGGACAGUCACAUGAUCUGCCACUCCCUGGGACAGGACCCUUGAUAGUCAGCCCUUAGGAUCCGGAACCAUCACCCACAUCACUCAACCACUCACCCUCACCGUGGAGUCCACUCAUCAGGAGAACAUCCCCUUCUUCAUUACCAGUCAGCCAGGAGCUGCCAGAGCCGCCAGCCAGCCAGGAGCUGCCAGAGCCGUCAGUCAGCCAGGCGAUGCCAGAAUCGCCCUUCACUCCGGAGCUGCCGGAGUCUCCCGCCUGUCCGGCGCUGCUGGAGUCUCCCGCCUGUCCGGCGCUGCCGGAGUCUCCCGCCUGUCCAGCGCUGCCGGAAUCUCCCGUCCAUUUGGGAUCCAUGGCUAGGCUCCCCAGUCGGAGGUCGGCGGCGAGGGUCGCAGCUCAUAAGAGGCCACGGGGGCGGUUGAGGAGGCGGACAAAAACUGUGGUGAAGCGGGGUCCACGUUCCGCGUCAGAGCCGCCACCGCGGACAGACGCCCACCCAGACCCUCCCCUAUAGAUUUAGGUUUUGCGGCCGGAGUCAGCACCUUUGGGGGGGGGGGAGGGGGUACUGUCACGUUCUGACCUUUUAUUUCCUUUGUUUUGUCUUUAUUUAGUAUGGUCAGGGCGUGAGUUGGGGUGGGCAGUCUAUGUUUGUUUUUCUAUGUUUGGUUUCUGUUUCGGCCUGGUAUGGUUCUCAAUCAGAGGCAGGUGUCGUUAGUUGUCUCUGAUUGAGAAUCAUACUUAGGUAGCCUGGGUUUCACUGUUGGUUUGUGGGUGUUUGUUUCCUUGUCAGUGUUUGUCGCCACACGGUACUGUUUCGGUUUCGUUUCUUCAUGUUUCUUUUGUUAUUUUUGUAUUCAAUGCUUUCUUUGAUUAAAGUUAUGGACACUU